rnacentral:tRNA from 1 species
GCAUUGGUGGUUCAGUGGUAGAAUUCUCGCCUUCCACGCAGGAGACCCAGGUUCAAUUCCCAGCCAGUAUA